rnacentral:rRNA from 1 species
UUCGGAUUGUAGUCUGCAACCCGACUACAUGAAGCUGGAAUCGCUAGUAAUCGCGAAUCAGAAUGUCGCGGUGAAUACGUUCCCGGGUCUUGUACACACCGCCCGUCACACCAUGGGAGUCGGAAAUGCCCGAAGUCAGUGACCCAACCGUAAGGAGGGAGCUGCCGAAGGUGGAGCCGGUAACUGGGGUGAAGUCGUAACAAGGUAUC